GACGAACGCUGGCGGCGUGCUUAACACAUGCAAGUCGAACGGAAAGGCCCUGCUUUUGUGGGGUGCUCGAGUGGCGAACGGGUGAGAAACAUGUGAGUAACCUGCCCUUGACUUUGGGAUAACUUCAGGAAACUGGGGCUAAUACCGGAUAGGAGCUCCUGCAGCAUGGUGGGGGUUGGAAAGUUUCGGCGGUUGGGGAUGGACUCGCGGCUUAUCAGCUUGUUGGUGGGGUAGUGGCUUACCAAGGCUUUGACGGGUAGCCGGCCUGGGAGGGUGACCGGCCACAUUGGGACUGAGAUACGGCCCAGACUCCUACGGGAGGCAGCAGUGGGGAAUAUUGCACAGUGGGCGGAAGCCUGAUGCAGCAACGCCGCGUGCGGGAUGACGGCCUUCGGGUUGUGAACCGCUUUCGCCUGUGACGAAGCGUGAGUGACGGUAAUGGGUAAAGAAGCACCGGCUAACUACGUG
rnacentral:rRNA from 1 species